UACAGAGGUGGCAAGCGUUGUUCGGAAUUAUUGGGCGUAAAGAGCUCGUAGGCGGUUUGUCGCGUCUGCCGUGAAAGUCCGGGGCUCAACUCCGGAUCUGCGGUGGGUACGGGCAGACUAGAGUGAUGUAGGGGAGACUGGAAUUCCUGGUGUAGCGGUGAAAUGCGCAGAUAUCAGGAGGAACACCGAUGGCGAAGGCAGGUCUCUGGGCAUUAACUGACGCUGAGGAGCGAAAGCAUGGGGAGCGAACAGG
rnacentral:rRNA from 1 species